AACGAACGCUGGCGGCAGGCUUAACACAUGCAAGUCGAGCGCCCCGCAAGGGGAGCGGCAGACGGGUGAGUAACGCGUGGGAAUCUACCGUACCCUACGGAAUAGCUCCGGGAAACUGGAAUUAAUACCGUAUACGCCCUACGGGGGAAAGAUUUAUCGGGGUAUGAUGAGCCCGCGUUGGAUUGGCUAGUUGGUGGGGUAAAGGCCUUCCAAGGCGACGAUCCAUAGCUGGUCUGAGAGGAUGAUCAGCCACAUUGGGACUGAGACACGGCCCAAACUCCUACGGGAGGCAGCAGUGGGGAAUAUUGGACAAUGGGCGCAAGCCUGAUCCAGCCAUGCCGCGUGAGUGAUGAAGGUCUUAGGAUUGUAAAGCUCUUUCACCGAUGAAGAUAAUGACGGUAGUCGGAGAAGAAGCCCCGGCUAACUACGUGCCAGCCGCCGCAGUAA
rnacentral:rRNA from 1 species